UUCACCAAUUUUUUAAUUAAUAUUAUAUAGGGAUUGGAGUAUGUGCUUGGAAAAGUAGGUUGGUUAAUAGCUGUGAGAACUGACAUCGCAUCUGUAACAAUAAUAACGGAGGAUUCCCUGUUAGAAACAAAAACUAGGGCUUGAUAUAUGGCAAUU
rnacentral:lncRNA from 1 species